CCAGCGCUGUUAACCCUUGAGCGCUGUUAAUCCUUAGCCUCUGGCUUGUUUUUUUUUUUUUUUUUUUGUUUAUGUUUUUUUUUGUUGUUGUUUUAAUGUGUGCGCGUUUCUGCCUUCCCAAGACCAGCCCCGCUUUGACUGGGAGAAUCAAAAUGACUAUAAAAAGGGGCAGGGACCUCAGGAUCUCUUCUCCAGGGACCAGGGACCAGGGACCAGGGACCAGCUGGACCGCAUCUGAUCAGAAUUCAAAGUGCACAUUUUUCCUGCAAACAAGUGGCUUCAAGCAGCUGGGUGUGUUUACUUCCAGAAUUAGGGGCAGGGCAAUGACGUCAUGAAUUGGCUCCGAAAGGCUCGAGAUCCUGAAGACGGUGAGGGGCACAAGGCAGGCGAGGACAAUUACAGAACACCGGGGACCAGGGAAAAUGUUGUGUGCGCUGUGGUGACAGGAAAAGGCUUCCGGGGAUACUUCUGGGUCUGGGCAAAGCGUGGGAGGAGGAAGGAUACAGAGGUUGGCAGAUGGUGUAAGCAGUGCGCACAGCAUUCUGGGAAUUGUAUUUUCACAUCCUCGACUCAGCAAAGCAGAAGACACGGUGAGCGACCUGGCUAUGUGACUACAAACAAUCCCAGAAGUCGUUGCUCUGAGACCCGCCAUGUUUGUAGUUCUGACAGAGGCUCGCAGCCAGCACAAUGCACUCUGGGAUUUGUAGUUCCCAGGCUACGGCGUGCUUGGCUUUAGAAAUUCUACAGGUCUUGUUCACAUCCGCGUCUGGGACAUUUCAUCUUGAGUUCAGUGCUCUGUCAUAAGGAUGUUCACAAUCGUACUAGAUAAAACAGAUGAUUUUUGUCUAUGAGACACCUAUAUUACAAUGUAAGUGGCUAGAUGUGGGGCUGAAAUGCAGUAUAUAGAUUUAGAGCCUGGAAGGCUCCUAAGAGGGUGAUGAAUGUUAAGUGGAACUGUUAGGCCCAGCAUGAGCCUAAUUCUAAGAAGGUCUGAAGAGAACCCAGGAAACUAAUCAUCGAUGCAAAAAUCGCAUGAGGUUUGUUUGUUUUGACCAUUGCACAAUGGGGUCACCUCUGCUGGUCAGCAAGGAGUGGCACCAGAAGACAAAGGCCUUGGGUUUUUGAAAGACAAAGCGCAGGAAAUUCCAGGGGUUGCAAUAUUGGUGAGUCAGGAUUGGAUGAGGUAUUUAACUUUUAAAAUAAUUGGGCACCCUUAGGUCUGGUCAGCCCUCUCGUAAAUAUCUGAUUUUCAAAUCAGUUUGGAAUUUCCUGCCAUAUGAGCUAUAGCCACAGUUAAAGGUGGGAGAAUGAUUAACUCAUCCCGUGUCUGUUCUGAGGAGAGGGGGUUACAGGCUUUGGAUCAAAGGUCAGGAGCUAUUCAGGAGAAGGAUUGGGGCCAUUUGGCCCAGUUUCCAAACAAAGCUCAUCUCACAGGCGCCAGCCGGUGAUUUUCUCUCCGUUUAGUAGAGAUCUCUGCUUGUUCUCUUCCUUAUCUCUGCCCUCACAUAUGGCUAAUGUCAGGAACUUUUACAUUCCUUGGCUCUCUGGAGAAGCUGAGACCAAAAGAUAAAUUAGCAGCUAUUAAGACCUAAAGUAGGUACCGUAAAGAAGUUUAGUAAUGCCCUGAGGGGAAGAGCCACUUCACUGCAUUCUUUCCCCACCCACUACACUACCUACAGUUGCUAGGAAACUGGCCCAUCCCCCUAGGGAGGGACACCAGGUCAUUAUGGUCUGGGGGCCUUCCUAUAGCCAAUUGAUUCAAAAUGUAGCAUUUUGACCUAUAGAUACUUGCCAGGCAGGAAUUUCCCCUGCCUUGGGCAUGCUGGGAGGGACCAGAAUCUAUAUAUCACCCAACUAGCCUGGGGUGCGGUGCGCUCAGCUCCCACCGCUUCGGCGGUGGGUGUUGUGGGCCCAAGCUGCAGCUUGUAAUUUACAAUAAAAAGACCCUCAUGUGUUUUGCAAUGGAGUCGAUUCCUGUAGAUCUUUUGGGGGCUCGCGAACUGGGUAUAACAUUUGGAAGUCCCACCGAGAUUCCAGGGCUCCCCAAGACCUCAGGACUGAUCCGGAGGGUCUCAUACCAGCUGUGGAUCAGCUAACCAGAUGCUUGGGACUGCCCUAUUGCCCAGCCUUUGACUGGCAUUUCAGCCUCCAUCGCUCCUGAUGUCAGCGGUCCAAUGGUCAGCAUUGAAGAAGCUCCAGAAGAUGGAUCUUCGCCCAAAUCCCCCCUAGCAGGCUGAAAUGCUAAGUCAAAAGGGGUUCCCUGGCAUUAGCUAUUAUCUUGGGCAUCUGCUUAGCUGAAAUGGAAACUAAUAUUGCAGCAACUGGGCUAAAAGCCUAGAGAGACCCUAAAAAAAAGGAUAAUAGUUCUCCUUGGCUUACUAUCCCUAUAUCUACCCUGAAGGGACCCCUACUCAUUUUGAUUUUUUUAGUUUUGGGCCUUAUAUUUUCAAUUGCUUAAUGGCUUUCAUAAAAAAAAAUGCUUGAGAGCAAUACACUAAUGGUAUUCAGAUCCCAUUAUAAAAAGGUAAAUCUAUAAGAUACAAGGGGUCAUGUCUGGAAGACCCAAGAUUGGGUCUUCAAAUGAUCAUGGGAAAGGGGGAAAUGAGAGACCAAAAGAUAAAUUAGCAACUAUUAAGACCUAAAGUAGGUACUGUAAAGAAGUUUAGUAAUGCCCUGAGGGGAAGAGCCACCUCACUGCAUUCUUUCCCCACCCACUACACUAUCUACAGUUGCUAGGAAACUGGACUAUCCCUCUAGGGAGGGACACCAGGUCAUUAUGGUCUGGGGGACUUCCAAUCGAUUGAAAAUGUAGCAUUUUGACCUAUAGAUGCUUGCCAGGCAGAAAUUCCCCUGCCUUGGACAUGCUAGGAGGGACCAGAAUCUAUAUAUCACCCAACUAACCUGGGUGCGGUGCGCUCAGCUCCCACCGCUUUGGCGGUGGGUGUUGUGGGCCCAAGCUGCAGCUUGUAAUUUACAAUAAAAAGACCCUCAUGUGUUUUGCAAUGGAGUCGAUUCCUGUAGAUCUUUUGGGGGCUCGCGAACUGGGUAUAACAAAGCACUAAGAGGCUUUAAUUAACAUGGGCCUAAAACUUGAAAAUAUAAGUUUUAAGGCAAUUAAAAGAAACAUAGGUUACAAAAUUAGUCUGAUUCUUUCAGAACGUGAGCACGCACAAAUGUACAUGCCAUGUCUUCAAUGUCUUAUGUACUGUUGAAAAAGCAGGCACUUGAGAAAAACUAUAAGGUUAUAUUCCAAAAACCUGACAGUUGGUGGAAAUUCAAAGUUCAAGAGUUAGCAUGGCACCUCUUCGUCUUCCUAUUUCUUCAUUCUGUACCCUGUUAUUUUCAGGUAUUUCGGACUGAAAAAAAAAAAACAACAGCAUCUUUUCUGGCUGGAAAUGGACUGUAGUUUUCAGGUCAGAUAGAGUAGUAUAUAAUUUUUGAGGAUUCUCUUAGAAAACCCUUACCAAUAACUCAAAAGUUGACUUCUCAUGCCUGGUAUUAGAGUUCUUGUUAGAUGGAGGGACCAUUGUCAUCACAGAUGGCAAAGUUUCAUUUAAACUAAAUUUUUGUUUUAUACAACUUAUAUGGAUUAUACAUAUCUUAGGUAGAUUGUGACUAGUAUGAUUCAGUAUUACUUUUUCAGACAUCUUUAUUGUUAUUUUAGCUUCCUCCCUUUUGUAUUUCUCUCAGUCUCACCUCUUGAUUAUUUUAACCCCCUCAUGUUAUUCCCAUUUCCACUUUCAAAUCACUAAAACCCUUCUACUUCCUACUGCUCCCACAACAACUCCAUUCUCAUCUCGGAAAUGCUCUCUUUUUCACUCCUUGUUAUUGCAAUUACUGCCAUAUAUAGACUCACAUCUGAGUUCAUACAUACUUAGUUUUGAGCUAGGAACCUUAGAGGAGAGAAUAUGUGAAGUUUGUCAUGUCAUACAAUGAAGAGCUUAAGAUAGCCUGAAUAUAACUCCAUUUUGAAAUAAAGAUCUUGACUGGGAACUGAAUUCAGGUACCAGGAAAUAUCACAAAAUGUACACCUGGUAGAAAACAAAGUUAACUCUCCUAGCAACAGCCUUCAUGAAAUAUAACAGAAUAAAUGCUUCAUAGAAAAUAGAGACAAACUCUCUGGCAAUAAUCAAUGGGAAUCGGUUGAGAAUCGGGUGGGAAAAUUCUCCCCAAUGCUUCAGAUAUGGUUUAGAAAAAUAGCCAUUGUGAUUAUAUGCCUUAGCCAUUGUGAUUAUGUGCCUCAGAAAAGGUCACCCCGCCCUGCUAAACUUUAUCCAAUUCUGUAAUGCCAAGGCUUGUGCCCCCCUGCUUGCUGCCAUGGAAACCCCUGGCUCACAGAUUUUCCCUUUAAAAAUCCUGUUCACUCAGAGCUCCGGGUCCCACUUCUCUACUGCUGUGCCGGUGAGACACACCGAAUUUGAUCGCUCUCAUAAUAAAGCUCUCUUGCAAUUGCA